rnacentral:rRNA from 1 species
CGUUAGCGGCGGACGGGUGAGUAACACGUGGGUAACCUACCUAUAAGACUGGGACAACUUCGGGAAACCGGAGCUAAUACCGGAUAAGAUAUCGAACCGCAUGGUUCGAUAGUGAAAGANGGUUUUGCUAUCACUUAUAGAUGGACCCGCGCCGUAUUAGCUAGUUGGUGAGGUAACGGCUCACCAAGGCAACGAUACGUAGCCGACCUGAGAGGGUGAUCGGCCACACUGGAACUGAGACACGGUCCAGACUCCUACGGGAGGCAGCAGAA